rnacentral:rRNA from 1 species
AAUCUGCCUGGUAGUGGGGGACAACGUUUCGAAAGGAACGCUAAUACCGCAUACGUCCUACGGGAGAAAGCAGGGACCUUCGGGCCUUGCGCUAUCAGAUGAGCCUAGGUCGGAUUAGCUAGUUGGUGGGGUAAUGGCUCACCAAGGCGACGAUCCGUAACUGGUCUGAGAGGAUGAUCAGUCACACUGGAACUGAGACACGGUCCAGACUCCUACGGGAGGCAGCAGUC